UUACGGCCAUAUCACGUUGAAACACCGGUUCCCGUUCAAUCAUCGAAGUUAAGCAACAUCAAGCAGGGUUAGUUCCUAGUGACUGCUUGGGAAUACCAGGUGUUGUAA